AAAGUCCGCUUGAAAAAACAAAACAAUAAAAUUGUUCAUCAAAUUUUGGCCCAGCAUUAUGUAUAUGCAUGUAACAGUCAUACGAUUUACCCACACUGUUCACAACUUAUAUUUUUAAUCAGCAUCAGUAUUUUCUUGAGCUGAUUGUCCACAUCCUGGUCCUGUCACCUUAAUUUCAGAAAAAUUCGUAUUAUCCACAUUGCGGCAAUCGCAGAAUCAUAAGGAAUUAUCUAAUAUUUCAUAAUAUGAGGAAAACUUAACAAACAUAUAUUUUAAGUGAUUCUAAUAUAUUUUCUUUAUAUAUAUUUAAGAUUGGAACUUCACUCGGAGAGCGGAAAUAACAAGCCAGAACUAAUAUUCAUGGACCAAGUAGAGGACAUUUCAUCUGAGUUUAUUUUACACAAAAACGAAAAUUGCAUUCAAAUUCGCAUUAAUGAUGGUAGUCGAGAUGGUAGGAUUGUUUUAACGAACUCUGAUGAAAUCGGAUUAAAGGAAUGGGCGUCAUCUUUGAGAUCCGCGCACAAAAUGUCGCAAGAUCUCUUAGGAUCAAUGGCUAAAAAAGCUGGAAAAAUUUAUGGUAGUGAACGAGAUGCCAACAAAUCUAUAUAUAUUUUAGGGGUAAUUGUUCAACGAAAUCGUCUAAUGGGUCUAAUUAAUUAUUUAACAAUUUAUGUACAACAAUUACUGCUAUGUAAAACGAUGUAGAGGUAUACACAAUGGAAAUAAAUUUGGAGAGAUUCCUAAAAACCCACCUCA